rnacentral:lncRNA from 1 species
AUUUGUACCUUUAUUGUUGGAAUUGUAUGUAAGUUUACUUUGAUAAUAUGUAUAUUUAUUAAUCAUGACGUUGUAUAUGAUCUCUUUUACAAAUCUUUAUCGAUGUUAUCUUUGAUUUCAAUAUUUAUCUUAAUGGGUUUGGAUUGCUAUAGACAUAUACGGUUCAAAAUCGAUCUAAGAUGAAAUAUCUAUUAGAUUCUAAAAUCUAGACAUGGAUUUAG